rnacentral:rRNA from 1 species
AUUGAACGCUGGCGGCAUGCUUUACACAUGCAAGUCGAACGGUAACAGGCCGAAAGGUGCUGACGAGUGGCGAACGGGUGAGUAAUGCAUCGGAACGUGCCCAGUCGUGGGGGAUAACGCAGCGAAAGCUGCGCUAAUACCGCAUACGAUCUAUGGAUGAAAGCGGGGGACCGUAAGGCCUCGCGCGAUUGGAGCGGCCGAUGUCAGAUUAGGUAGUUGGUGGGGUAAAGGCUCACCAAGCCGACGAUCUGUAGCUGGUCUGAGAGGACGACCAGCCACACUGGGACUGAGACACGGUCCAGAAUCCUACGGGAGGCAGCAGUGGGGAAUUUUGGACAAUGGGCGCAAGCCUGAUCCAGCAAUGCCGCGUGCAGGAAGAAGGCCUUCGGGUUGUAAACUGCUUUUGUACGGAACGAAAAGGCUCUGGUUAAUACCUGGGGCUCAUGACGGUACCGUAAGAAUAAGCACCGGCUAACUACGUGCCAGCAGCCGCAGUAA